UGUUUUAAAUACAGCGCAUGUUCACCAGCGGUACUUUUGACCUGAACAUUUGGCUUCAUAGGCUAUACAUGCCGCCCACGAUCUGUUGUCCCAGCAAACCUAAGAUCAUUUUAAUUAGUCUUUUUUGAGCUGUGCAGUGUGUCAGGGAUUAUCUAGCCCUGCAACCCAUGGAUCUUUCGUUUUGACCUCUAUUGGCUUACCAAAGAUUCCAGUUGCUGCGCAUGCAAAUUCCUGCCAAAACUGCAUCCUGACGAAUGGUGUCAAUCACUGUGCAUCAUAUAUACUUUAUGGAUGUUUCCACUGAGGACCAUAUGUCAUACACAAAUCUGUCUUUAUGCUAAAUAUGCAUUCCUCGUCUUCGUCCUGAAGAAGCCCCACGGCGAAACGUGCGUUGGCGACUUCUGAGGAAUAUACAGU